rnacentral:rRNA from 1 species
AUUGAACGCUGGCGGCAGGCCUAAAACAUGCAAGUCGAACGAGUGGCGGACGGGUGAGUAAUGUCUGGGAAACUGCCUGAUGGAGGGGGAUAACUACUGGAAACGGUAGCUAAUACCGCAUACCAUCAGAUGUGCCCAGAUGGGAUUAGCUAGUUGGUGGGGUAACGGCUCACCAAGGCGACGAUCCCUAUCUGGUCUGAGAGGAUGACCAGCCAAACUGGAACACGAACACGGUCCAGCCUCCUACGGGAGGCAGCAGUGGGGAAUAUUGCACCAUGGGCGCAAGCCUUCUUCAGCCAUGCCGCGUGUAUGAAGCAGGCCUUCGGGUUGUAAAAUCCUUUCAGCGGGGAGGCGUUACCCGCAGAAGAAGCACCGGCUAACUCCGUGCCAGCAGCCGCGGUAAUAC